rnacentral:rRNA from 1 species
UUGAACGCUGGCGGCAGGCCUAACACAUGCAAGUCGAGCGGAUGAAGGGAGCUUGCUCCUGGAUUCAGCGGCGGACGGGUGAGUAAUGCCUAGGAAUCUGCCUGGUAGUGGGGGAUAACGUCCGGAAACGGGCGCUAAUACCGCAUACGUCCUGAGGGAGAAAGUGGGGGAUCUUCGGACCUCACGCUAUCAGAUGAGCCUAGGUCGGAUUAGCUAGUUGGUGGGGUAAAGGCCUACCAAGGCGACGAUCCGUAACUGGUCUGAGAGGAUGAUCAGUCACACUGGAACUGAGACACGGUCCAGACUCCUACGGGAGGCAGCAGUGGGGAAUAUUGGACAAUGGGCGAAAGCCUGAUCCAGCCAUGCCGCGUGUGUGAAGAAGGUCUUCGGAUUGUAAAGCACUUUAAGUUGGGAGGAAGGGCAGUAAGUUAAUACCUUGCCGUUUUGACGUUACCAACAGAAUAAGCACCGGCUAACUUCGUG